rnacentral:rRNA from 1 species
CCUACGGGAGGCUGCAGUGGGGAAUAUUGGACAAUGGGCGAAAGCCUGAUCCAGCCAUGCCGCGUGUGUGAAGAAGGCCUUCGGGUUGUAAAGCACUUUCAGUGGGGAAGAAAGCCUUGGGGCUAAUACCCUCGAGGAAGGACAUCACCCACAGAAGAAGCACCGGCUAACUCCGUGCCAGCAGCCGCGGUAAUACGGAGGGUGCGAGCGUUAAUCGGAAUUACUGGGCGUAAAGCGCGCUUAGGCGGUCUGAUAAGCCGGUUGUGAAAGCCCCGGGCUCAACCUGGGAACGGCAUCCGGAACUGUCAGGCUAGAGUGCAGGAGAGGAAGGUAGAAUUCCCGGUGUAGCGGUGAAAUGCGUAGAGAUCGGGAGGAAUACCAGUGGCGAAGGCGGCCUUCUGGACUGACACUGACGCUGAGGUGCGAAAGCGUGGGUAGCAAACAGGAUUAGAUACCCCAGUAGUC